CCCGUCUAGGCCUUUACGAUCUGCUGAAGACUUACGUCUAUCUUCUGUCCGUACUCCCACCUCUGAUGCUCGCCUUCAAGACUCUCAAGGGCUGCACCGUUCCUAUGGAACUCACUUCCCUCCUCCGUUAGAUGCUCACCCAGUCUCAACUCCUUCAAAAAUCAUUAAAAACCCACUUCUUCAUAAAAGCGUAUCAAUUAAACUGUUAAUAGCUCCUGAC